rnacentral:tRNA from 2 species
GCGGGUGAGGUGUCAACGGCAGCACGCGACGUUGCCAACGUCGAGGACGGGGUUCGACUCCCCGUACCCGCA